UUGAGUUCAGCUCAGGGCAGCUCCCCUGUUCUGUUAAUUAAACUCUGAGACAUCAAACUGGCUAGGGUAGAUCACUGCAUAGAAAAUAUUACUCUAAAAAAAAAAAAAAGAAAAUAUUACUCUAUUCAUUUACCUCCCAGCCUAUAAAA
ensembl:snoRNA small nucleolar RNA SNORA36 family